CGCAGGGAUGCAGACGCCAGGUAUCAUGCAUGACAUGGGAACAUGAGGAAAGAGCCAUGCAGGGAUGCAGGCGCCAGGCGUCACGCAUGACACAGAAACACGAGGACAGAGCCACGCAGGGAUGCAGGCGUCACGCGUGACAUGGGAACACCCGCACCCUGCAACGAGGACACAGAGCCACGCUCCAGCCCGUGCCUUGCGGACACUCCCAGGCCACAGGGAUCUGUGACACUGGCCGCAUCGUCCGCAACGCGGGGGGGGGGGGGAGGAGAAGAGGCGGAGCGGCGACCGGUGCCCUCCCCACCUGGUCCGAGGCCUAGGCCGCAGCGGAGCCCGAGUCGCUCCCCGCCCCCUCAGGACGGGAGCGGGGGCGGGGGGUGUCUGCCCGGCAAGAGGCGAUCACCCGAGGCCGGGGACGCGGCCUGCCUGAGGGGACGGUGGGCCCCGGCUGGGCCGGGCUCGGGAGCGAUGGAUCCCGCGGCGGAGGAAGCCCGGCACCUGGGGCUCCGCUUCCAGCGAGGCUUCCUGGCCGGCAGGCGGCUCCGCGCCUUCCCCUGGGCGGAACUUGAAAAAAAAUUAAAGAGUUCAUCAGAUGCUUUGCUACUGCUGGAUAUUUUGCAGAAGACUAUUCUUCACCCCUUAUGCAUGAAAUAUCCCCCUUCCGUGAAGUACAGAAGAUGCUUCAUAUCUGAACUCAUUAGAAAGCAUGAGUCCAUAGCAACUGAACCCCUGGAUGAAUUGUAUGAUGUACUAGCAGAGAUUUUAAAUAAAGAAGAAUCUACCAACUGUUAUAAAAGCUACUUACUGCCCACAGGGGACUCUGUUACACUUUCUGAGACAGUGGCAAUAAUCUCACAGGGAACCACAGGACUAGUCACGUGGGAUGCUGCUCUUUAUCUUGCUGAAUGGGCAAUAGAGAAUUCUGCCAUUUUCAGUAACAGGACCAUCUUGGAAUUAGGAAGUGGGAUUGGCCUCACAGGAAUUGCAAUCUGUAAAACCUGUAAUCCUAAGGCAUAUGUAUUUAGUGACUACCAUCACUGUGUUCUUGAGCAACUGAGCGAAAAUAUCCAUUUAAAUGGCUUUGUUCUGGAGUCUGAAACUGGGAAUCACACCAAAAUGCAAUCCCAAAACCAGAGGACAGAAGUGAUGGAUUUACAAGGACCAAAAAUAACAGUUGCAGAACUUGAUUGGGAUUCUGUUACAAAGGAACAACUUACAGAGCUUCAGGUUGAUGUUGUUAUUGCAGCAGCAACUUUCCACUUCCAAAACCACUGGAAACCCACCUGAGAUCUACAUUGCCUUCACGGUUCGUAAUCCAGACACCUAUCACCUCUUCCAAACUGAACUUGGUAAAGUUGGGAUUGGCUGGCAGGUUGUUCCUACUCACACGAAGAACCUUUUCCUAUAUGACCUGCAUUCAGACAUAAUUCUUCUAAAAUUACUUGCACAGACUUUGUAAAUCCAAUAUUACCAAUAGACAUUUUGACAGACUAAGCAUAAGAUCUAUCAUGAUCGUGACAGUGACCUUGAAUUCUGGACAUGUACUUGAGUGGCAGACUUAGAAAGCAAGUUUAAGCUCUGUACAUUGUCAGUGUGUUUUAGGCCCCACUGCUGCAAUUGAUUGUGGGUGGGUGGACAGCCUCACCUGUGUGCUGCCUCCAGUGCGGUUCCUUGGGAGUCCAUAGGUUGUCAGUUGCAGGAACGGGGCCCCAUUCAGACUGAGAUUUUAUUCUUCCAGAGGGCACAAGGAAGAAAACUGUAGAGUUUCUAUGGCAUUGUGAUAUGCACACCUUGGAAAUAAGUUUUGUGAGACCAAAAAAAAUGAAUCUCUCUUCCCUGCAUGGUGAAAUAGAGCAAUGAACAAUUUCAGUUUUUAUAUUAAAGAAUUAUUUAUA